GGUUAGGACGUGGGGCGGCGCUGGGACCCCAGCCUCUCACCUGUAAUGAGGAGAUGAGAACCCCCUACCCCCAGACAGUUCUCAGGGCACCUGUGAGGCCUGAUGACGCACAUUAGCCCCGACAGCCAGACACGGACUGCAGCCACGGCCGCCACUUAGCCCACGGCCCCUUCCGCGCGCUUCCCUAAGGUGCUGAGAGAGGCGAGAGACGGAGGUGUGGAGACACCGCCAUCCCGGCUUAGCCCCCUCCAGGCGCGGGCCCGGGAGACCUCUUCCAGGAGGUGCUGUUCCUGCAACGCCAAAGCAGAGCCCAUGCUCGGAGGCGGGGAGCUGUGACACCCGGAGCGGGCUGGCGUGUCCCAGGCCCUCACCCCGCCUGGCACGACACCGCCAGUGCACAGCAUGCUUGCAGGUCGACUUCACUACAAAGCAGUGAGCUUAUCACAACUAUCGUUUGGACCCGAACGCACCCCUUCCCAUGGUCAUUCCCUGCUGCUGGUGCCUCUGGUUUGGAUGAAGCCCUGGUCAUCUUGGAAUCCCACUUCCGGGGGAACCGGACCCUUCACACGGCAUUUCCACCUCUGAUCAUGUGCAACCAGAGCAGUUGUUUUCAGCUAACAGCCCCCUGCGA